rnacentral:rRNA from 1 species
ACUUUGGGAGCUUCAAGCGCCAACACUUUAGCAUGCGGGAAACCCCGAUAAAGGAACCCCCAGUGCCAGCAUCAAAUGUUACCUCCAGAUUAUCAAACAACAACUUUGCCACCCCCUUG